AAACACACUAGGAGGCAGUGGCGCGGCGCACGCCGCGCCCGUGUCCAUUUGUUUGUAGAGAAAGCUUUCAAGUCUGAAUUAUAUGCAGUUGGUGAGCAGAAGAUUGACAGCGUAUACCUUUUUUUCGACGAAAUUUUCUUGAGCUUAUUUUUCGAGGAAAUUAACAGCUUAUGCACGAGAGGCGCUGUUCGUGUUUUUCGCGGCCAGCCCAGCUUCUGUUUAGUCGGCGGGCUACAGUAAGACUCUUUUGGUGGGCGGCAACAGCAGGUCAGGUUCUAACAGUGAUAGUAUAUCUUAGAUGAGGUGGGGACCUCUCGAAAGAAAGAUGUGGUGGAGAAAAAUAGUGGAUUGAAGAAGAGUGAGCAGAAGAACGGUGCCAGCUCUGGGUGCGGUAGCUGAAGGAAGGGGGCGGAGGUCAUAGGGACGGCGGUUGGCAAGAUAGUGUCAGCAUGCGGGCGGCCUUGAAUUUAAUCUUUGUCGGGGGCUGUGUGCGGAGGAUGUUACCUGAGUUUGUCGGUCUGCGGGUGUCGUCGGAGCUGGUCGGAGGAAGGUUGAAGUCCAGGCCGAACUUUGUAGAGAUGGUUCUGCGGAUCUUCUUCGGCAGCUUUUCUGGCGGGUGGCAGUCUCCCUCGACCAAGUGCGGACUGAACUGCAAGUAAAGGAUUGUGGUCUUUAUCAUGAUAACCCUGACCUACCACCUCGUUUGCUCCUCUGAAUCAAGCGAUGAAGGGGAGGGCAACAGUGGCGGGAUAAGAUUUGGAGGGUGGCCAUGGCGGGCGUAAGCGUGGAUCUGGUGCACAUAGGAGAAAUCUACGCGGAGGAGAGGCUGGCUAAGUUUCGGGCCUGAACGCGCCGGACUGGAGACGAUGGGGCGCCGCUGAGUUUUAGGAAGAGUAGUCUGGCGUGCAGACUGGUCGGCAGAACAGGAGCUUCUGUUUGACUGGUACUACUCGCCAUUCCAUCUGCAAGGUAAAUUUAGUUUACAAUGCUUUGCUAGCAGUGAACCGUGUAGGGGGGCAUGGUACUAUGGCAAGAUAAAUUCAGAAGGGACCCAAUUUCUUGUCAGGCUGGAGGAAGAUAUAGAAAUUACAAAGAUUACAUCAUAUAUGUUGAACCGACUUGAAUUUCUGCCCAGCCAAAAGAAAUUGAUCUGUUAUUACUUUCGGUUGCCCUUGUUUGCCUGGAGAAGGUAAAUGUAAGACUUGAGUAUUUCUCUUUGUCUAGGUAGUAUCCUGUGUUUUUUUUUGUCUUAGUGUGAAUAUACAUAUAUUGGAAAACAGAAAAGGAAAUCAAGCUCACCCCGCUGAUCAGAACGAUGAGGAGCGAUGCAAAGUUAAUAUUAGCAAGAAAAUUACCACUUUCACCAUCUAUGUUAGCAUCAAGUAAUAUGAAUCGGAGGGAGUAUGUAAAAAAGAAGUAUACCAUAAGUCAACACAUAGCUGGCAGCUGACAAUACAGUCUAUGUUGCCUGAAGAAAACACAAAAGUAGUGCACAAUAGCCUAACCCACAGAUAAGCGUUUACAACACGAUCUACUAAAACAAAAUACAAUCUAUGAUGCCAUAGCAGAAACAAAGCUUCAAAGUGUUCAACAUUUAGGGCGACGGUAGCUUGUAUGGACACAUCAAGGAUGGGAACAUUUGCAACCUCUUUCUGUAGAAAGCUCUGUCAAGUUUGUCAGGACAUCGGCAACAUUUGUAUGUGCAGUCUGGUCGGCAUAAUAUAUGUGGUAGUGCACCACACAGUACACAUAUAUUUAGCAAGGGAUUUGCCAAGAUCUCCUUUUGUGUCACCUGUAACUGUAUCGUCUUAUUUUUAUCCAGCAACAUAGGCUUUGGCAAAUAAACAUCGACCCUAUCAAGUGUUUGCCCCUGACUUUUAUUAUUUGUCAUUGCGUAGCAGAGAGGAAUUGGAUAUAUUGCCAGCGACGUACAGUAAAAGGCCACUUUGUGCAUGUGUGUGCAGUACAAUCCUUGGUAUGCAGACACGCUCACCUGUGUUGGUUCCAGUCAUAAUCUUGUCCUGAACUCUUGUACCUGGCCUCCUAGGAGGAUUGCAACAUACUAUCUUUUCAAUGAAAUGUAGCGCAAAAGUCUUUUGUGUUUUCUCGAAAACAAUAAUCUUGGCCUGAAGAAACCAUUCACCAAGUCUGGUUACAAUUAGACGGGUACCACUACAGAGCUCAAUAGAUUGGUUUAUGCUCCGUAGCAGUAUUACUGGAACUCCGACCUUCAGUGAAACACUAUGCUGCGAGAAAUUAGGGGGCCGACCUUAUCGACAAAUUCUGGAGGGUAUACUGUUGCAUCUCCAGGAACCACAGGAAAAAAGUUCAUCAUUUGACUGCAUCAACAACUUUAUCAGUAGGUCAGAGUAUUGCCAAGUAGGGCACAUCAGAGAAAUUCUCAUCGAAUUAGUCAUAUACUUCAACAAUAAUAGCGAGUGUGAGGAACGACCAAACCCGGCUGUGAUGCAAAUUAAUUAAAAAAGAUUUGGCCAUGAAAAUUAGUUUUCUGUGAGCUAGUAUCGAUAAACAGAGAUAUUUUUACUGAUACUUGUGCCUGCAUAUAGCUUACAUGCUAACUUCGUGAAGCCAAUUACCAGUAUUGCAGCAUUGACCUUAGCUUGGUGAGGCUGCUAGAUUGAUAACUGUUCCCUGCAUGCAAAUGGAUGGAUUGUUUUAAUACGGGAGAUGGUCUAUUGUUUUGAUCAUGUACCAUCCUUACAACUCCUUCAGGCCUCUCUGCAAAGAACAUCUGGAUGAAGAUUUUUUCCACAACAUAAUUCAUUUACAGGCUGGUAAAAGAUCCAAAGCGUUAUCCCUUUUCAGGCAGGUGAUGAAAGAUAUCAGCUUUUCAGAGGUAAAUGUUAAAGUAUGGCCAGUGUUUCUUUUGUGGAAUACGUUUCAGAUUAAAUGAAUAACUGCCAUAGA